CCAGAGGCAAGACGGAAAUAGAACUGAUCAAACAGCAGCAAGUGCUAAGCUGUGAUAGAUUGGAGAAGAAAGAAGUGAGAAAGGAGGGAUGCUGUCCCUCCGGCUCAGUCUUUUAAUGUGAUUCCAGGAUCCCUGCUGCUUACAACAGGCUACCCUGUGAAGAGAAAGCUGUUUGAAUAUUUUGGCAAUCAGAGAAGGCCCCAACAUAAAUUAUGGAUACAGAAACUCAGAAGACAUUCUAACAAACAGAAUACUAUGGAAUCCAUUUUUCAGCCACCAUAUGGUAGCUGAGCACUUUCAAGCAGAAGCAAUUAUUUCUUAAGCAAUAAUAAUUAUUACAAAGCUGCAAAGAGCUCAAGGCAUGUUUCUUAGAAGAUAUACAGUGCUGUAAAUAUUGCUGUUAGUUUACCGUUUCAUAUCUAAUAAAAAUCGCUGUGUUUUAUCUGGCAAUUUAUGAUGUGAAGGGAGAGAGAAAAGGGUCUAUAUGUGGCUACUACACUCUUUAAAUUAAUUUUUAUGGUGCUCUCAGAAAGUUAUUGUUAUCCAUUCCACCAAUAGAGAAAUGAAUUAUGAAUAAUGCGUAGGAACCUUUUUACUGUUUACAGGGUUUCAGACUUUAAAGUUUACACCCUGGUAAGCCAGUAUAUCAAUUUAAUUAGGUGCUUUGAGUAAUUUACCCAAGUAAGUUAUUUAGUCAUAAGUCUUUAGUCCUCAAUCUUCUCCUGAUUAGAAGAAUGAUUAAUCUUCAGUUGCUUAAAAAGCCUUUAGCAAGGAAGUAACCAACCACAGUUUUUGCUGAUGUUCCCUUUUCCAUUUAUAUUCUGAACAUGGGAAGUAGGUGGAGAUGAGCUGCUUGACAUUUUGUUUAUUGGACUAUAUUCUGUGUUCCAUAAUUGCUAAAUUUCCUCAUGUCAUGCUUCAAAGGUGGGUAGUUUUAUGGUAUUCCCUGUUUUGAUGAUAUGCCAGUUGGUACAGCUCAGUGCAUUUUGGAGCACUAUAAAAUUGGAGUUCAUGGAACAACUGGUUUUCAUUUCAGCCCCUCUUUUCUCACAGCCUGCUGCUUUCUCCUUGCUGUUAUGAAGUUCAGUCUUCAUGUGAAAUUGUACUUCUA